CCGUAGGGUGAACCUGCGGAGGGAUCAUUACCGAGUUUACAACUCCCAAACCCAAUGUGAACGUUACCAAACUGUUGCCUCGGCGGGAUCUCUGCCCCGGGUGCGUCGCAGCCCCGGACCAAGGCGCCCGCCGGAGGACCAACCAAAACUCUUAUUGUAUACCCCCUCGCGGGUUUUUUACUAUCUGAGCCAUCUCGGCGCCCCUCGUGGGCGUUUCGAAAAUGAAUCAAAACUUUCAACAACGGAUCUCUUGGUUCUGGCAUCGAUGAAGAACGCAGCGAAAUGCGAUAAGUAAUGUGAAUUGCAGAAUUCAGUGAAUCAUCGAAUCUUUGAACGCACAUUGCGCCCGCCAGUAUUCUGGCGGGCAUGCCUGUCCGAGCGUCAUUUCAACCCUCGAACCCCUCCGGGGGGUCGGCGUUGGGGAUCGGCCCUUUACGGGGCCGGCCCCGAAAUAUCAGUGGCGGUCUCGCCGCAGCCUCUCCUGCGCAGUAGUUUGCACACUCGCAUCGGGAGCGCGGCGCGUCCAUCAGCCGUUAAACACCCCAAACUUCUGAAAUGUUGACCUCGGAUCAGGUAGGAAUACCCGCUGAACUUAAGCAUA
rnacentral:rRNA from 1 species